CGUGCCCAGUCGUGGGGGAUAACGUAGUGAAAAUUACGCUAAUACCGCAUACGAUCUAUGGAUGAAAGCGGGGGAUCGCAAGACCUCGCGCGAUUGGAGCGGCCGAUAUCAGAUUAGGUAGUUGGUGGGGUAAAGGCUCACCAAGCCAACGAUCUGUAGCUGGUCUGAGAGGACGACCAGCCACACUGGAACUGAGACACGGUCCAGACUCCUACGGGAGGCAGCAGUGGGGAAUUUUGGACAAUGGACGCAAGUCUGAUCCAGCCAUUCCGCGUGCAGGACGAAGGCCUUCGGGUUGUAAACUGCUUUUGUACGGAACGAAAAAGCUCUUAUUAAUACUAGGAGUCCAUGACGGUACCGUAAGAAUAAGCACCGGCUAACUACGUGCCAGCAGCCGCGGUAAUACGUAGGGUGCAAGCGUUAAUCGGAAUUACUGGGCGUAAAGCGUGCGCAGGCGGUUAUAUAAGACAGAUGUGAAAUCCCCGAGCUUAACUUGGGAACUGCAUUUGUGACUGUAUAGCUAGAGUACGGCAGAGGGGGAUGGAAUUCCGCGUGUAGCAGUGAAAUGCGUAGAUAUGCGGAGGAACACCGAUGGCGAAGGCAAUCCCCUGGGCCUGUACUGACGCUCAUGCACGAAAGCGUGGGGAGCAAACAGGAUUAGAUACCCUGGUAGUCCACGCCCUAAACGAUGUCAACUGGUUGUUGGGUCUUCACUGACUCAGUAACGAAGCUAACGCGUGAAG
rnacentral:rRNA from 1 species